rnacentral:rRNA from 1 species
CCUACGGGAGGCAGCAGUGGGGAAUAUUGGACAAUGGGCGCAAGCCUGAUCCAGCCAUGCCGCGUGGAUGAUGAAGGCCCUAGGGUUGUAAAGUCCUUUCGGCGGGGAAGCGGUACCCGCAGAAGAAGCCCCGGCUAACUUCGUGCCAGCAGCCGCGGUAAUACGAAGGGGGCUAGCGUUGCUCGGAAUCACUGGGCGUAAAGCGCACGUAGGCGGACUCUUAAGUCGGUGGUGAAAUCCUGGAGCUCAACUCCAGAACUGCCUCCGAUACUGGGAGCCUUGAGUCCGGGAGAGGUGAGUGGAACUGCGAGUGUAGAGGUGAAAUUCGUAGAUAUUCGCAAGAACACCAGUGGCGAAGGCGGCUCACUGGCCCGGACUGACGCUGAGGUGCGAAAGCGUGGGGAGCAAACAGGAUUAAUACCCUUGUAGUC